GGCGGACGGGUGAGUAACACGUGGGCAACCUGCCUGUAAGACUGGGAUAACCCCGGGAAACCGGGGCUAAUACCGGAUAAUACUUUCUUUUGCAUAAAGGAAAGUUGAAAGGCGGCUUCGGCUGUCACUUACAGAUGGGCCCGCGGCGCAUUAGCUAGUUGGUGAGGUAACGGCUCACCAAGGCGACGAUGCGUAGCCGACCUGAGAGGGUGAUCGGCCACACUGGGACUGAGACACGGCCCAGACUCCUACGGGAGGCAGCAGUAGGGAAUCUUCCGCAAUGGACGAAAGUCUGACGGAGCAACGCCGCGUGAGUGAUGAAGGUUUUCGGAUCGUAAAACUCUGUUGUUAGGGAAGAACAAGUACGAUAGUAACUGAUCGUACCUUGACGGUACCUAACCAGAAAGCCACGGCUAACUACGUGCCAGCAGCCGCGGUAAUACGUAGGUGGCAAGCGUUGUCCGGAAUUAUUGGGCGUAAAGCGCUCGCAGGCGGUCCUUUAAGUCUGAUGUGAAAUCUCGCGGCUCAACCGCGAACGGUCAUUGGAAACUGGAGGACUUGAGUACAGAAGAGGAGAGUGGAAUUCCACGUGUAGCGGUGAAAUGCGUAGAGAUGUGGAGGAACACCAGUGGCGAAGGCGACUCUCUGGUCUGUAACUGACGCUGAGGAGCGAAAGCGUGGGGAGCGAACAGGAUUAGAUACCCUGGUAGUCCACGCCGUAAACGAUGAGUGCUAGGUGUUAGGGGGUUUCCGCCCCUUAGUGCUGAAGUUAACGCAUUAAGCACUCCGCCUGGGGGAGUACGG
rnacentral:rRNA from 1 species